UCAGUCGUGUCGUCGCCGUCGCGCAUUACAGACGCGUGUGCCGGCUCGCCGUUACGCCCGUGGCUGCUCGUGGUCCUCGCCACGCUUUCGUCGUCCGGUCCGUUCAGAUUCUUUUCAGUUUUUCUUAAUUUUUUUUCUCGCGCGUUUUGUUUUACUUCUCCUCGAGUUUUCCGCGCUCGUGUUAGUUUCCCCGAUCACCGGAGGUUCUUUUUCGUUUUCUUUUUUUUUUUUUUAUCGUGCAUUUUUCUUUCCAUCAUAUAGUCAGUGUGCUUACCACCGCGACAUAGUGAGUCUAUCGCGAAGUCAACUCCCGUCAUCAUUGCAGUGUCUAUUUGAAGAGCGAUCACUGGUUUGUGUAUGUACAUGAAAGCGGUUUGACAGAACGUUUGGGUAUUGCAACACUGUCUUAUUAAAUCGUUUUUUCUGUAGUACGUUGUGUCUACAUAAAGCGACAAAAUGAACCAAGUCAAUAUAUCACCACAGUGAGUGUUGUAGAAUUUUCGAGAAAGAAAAAUACCUAGCUUGAUAAUUAUUGUUCAACUCUGCGAAUACAAGGUUACGUGUGCGUUUAUAAGGAUAACGAAACAUUAAUCGUCGCGGUUCGAUCAUGCCGCUGUCUCCACUGCUGAUGGUACUUACGAUACCGUCGCCACUGCUGGUGCUCUUAUUCUGUAACUCUGCAGCAGUAAGCUCUCAGUUGGCAUGGACACAAAUCUACGUCGGCUCCAACAGCCAGGUGGACUUAUGGACACAAAAAUCAGAAGGAUGCCGGUGUAAUCACGAUUUACUUAGACAGGACUGCGCCUGUUGUGUACCACAAGGUGGAUGUCAAUGCGGAGCACUAGCGCUGAACCGUUGUGCGCAAUGCGGUUUGGAGCAGCAUUGCACUAACAUGUGCAACGUCACGAUAAAAGCUGAUAUGUUAUUGGCCCGUUCAAACUCAACGUUCGGCCAGAUCAAAUCUCCCGCAAUGUCCGGUCCGAACUAUUGCUGGUACACGUUGGAUCCCGGAUAUGAGAGACGAGUGGAACUACAAAUAUACAGGCUCAUAAAUGUCGGCCAUUUCAACGGUUCCAGUUGCGUAUCAGGACACCUUGAAUUAGUGGAUUCUUUUGGACAAGGAUCAGGACCCCGGAUAUGUGGCAAAGAUGAACGGUUAGCACCUCCAAUCAUCAUGUUUGCGGAUAGAGAAUCAGCAGUUCUGAAUUUCCGGAUUGAAGAAGCCACGUCUAGAUCACAAUUUUUGGCAUAUUUUAGCUUUACUUCGUUAACGAAUGUUCAUGGUCUAGCGUUCAGGCCAAAAGGAGGAAGAAGGAUAGAACACACGAUAUGUGAUUGGCUGUAUCAAGAUUUUUCUUGUAACAAAGACUCUUGUACUCUUGCAAGCCCUGGGUUUCCGGGAAUUUAUGGUACAAACCUUUAUUGCAAGUACCAUAUUACCACAAGCUCUGUUCACACCCAAGUACGGCUUCAAUUUCUCACGUUAUCAUUACCACUCAAUCAUUGUGGAACACAUUACAUAAGCGUUUAUCAAGGACCUACAUCCAACAGUCCUUUGAUAACAACGAUUUGUGACAAGAGCAAAAAAGAUCACACUUUUCCCGGGCCUAACGUACUACUUGAGUUCAGGGCUGGAGCUGCAAUUCCACCGUACGAUUACACGGGAUUCGUGGCCACUAUCGAAUUCAUCGAUGACGUGAGUACACAAUCGGCCAGUACUGCAGCCACGUUGGAAGUAUCGCCGUAUCCAGCCAUCGCAGUUCAAAGAAACCUGAGAAACGAACAAACUUGUGAGAUGACAAUCAAAUCAGCCGAUAUAAAGUCUGGACAUUUUGAUCUACGUGGUAUGCAAAAUUGGAAAACAAAUUGUACUAUUCGUUUUGAAGGAAAGGAACCAGAAAUCGUGCAUAUAUCCUUGUUUAACUAUGUACUCAAAGCCAGUUCUUGUGAAUCAUUUAUUGAAAUUUAUGACGGACCAGAUGUAAGGCCGAAAGAUAAAACUAAACGAUUGUGCAGUCCUGUAGAGAAUCAUGCUAGAGAUACAAAUGGAAUGUUUCGUGAAAGACAAAUGUUUGUUUCGUCAGGAAACCAUAUGACGCUUUUUGUCCGAAGAUUAAUGGCAAAUAAUCAAAACGAAGAGACCGAAUUUUUAGAUGGAGCCUAUAGUUUCUUUAAUGUAUUAGAAAGAGGAACAUUACAACCAGAAACGUUAUGUGAUGUUAACUACAAUGGCCGAAGUAGUUCAUCUAGAGGAAAAUUGAAACAUCCAGGAACUGAACAAAUAUUUUGGAAUGUUGAAGGACAAUUGAGAUGUUCUCAAAAUCUCAUUCCAGCUACUAAUCAAAGCAUAAGCAUCAAAGUAAUAUCAUUAAAUAAAAUGUCUUCGGAUUUGUGCUACACCGAAUGCGGAGACAACGGAUGUCGUUGUGUCAAAAACGCUACAUCGAUUGUGGAUCAGCUGUACGUCAUCUCGACAAAAGAUGACAUAUUGUCUUGCAUUUGUGGUGAUUUUCAGGCCGAAUGGUUACCAGUCACCGUUAAAUCAUGGUCACCUAUCAAGUUAGUAUACUCAGUAUCAAAGUAUAGCUGGUCCAACAAGGGGUUUGAAUAUUCGGCUGAAUAUUCAUUCAAAGACGACAUGGUAUGUGGUUAUCGGGUCAUUAACCAACAUACCGGCAUACUCGAAUCACCGAUAAUGAUCAGGGAUAGUCCACUCAAUUUCUAUUACCACCAAGAUUGUACAUGGUUGCUGGAUUCAAAUGUCGAACGUCACUUGACCAUAGAAAUAGGAAGUUCACAAAGUCGUCCUUGUACAGCAUGGAAUAUAAGCAUUCAUGAGUAUUCUGAAAGAUCAGAUGACAAAGCCGGACAAGUAUUAUACACAUUCUGCCCCAGAGAUAAAAAUGCAACCAACACGCUGCCGUGGCAAAUGAAUAUUGUAGUAAUCAAGCUAAGAGCAAUGACACAGACUCCACCUCAAUAUUACAUUAAAUGGAGAUCAGAUGUCGAUCGUGCCAGACUAUCCGGAUCGACGGCCCAUACUGCCGCUGCUAAUAGAUCACUAAAAUUAACAAACAAUUGGACAAUAUUAUUAAUUACCAUCAUAUUUGUUUACGUAAAACAAAUGAAAAACAGUUGAAUAGUUGCCAGUAUGAAUAAAGGAUGUUUUACAUACGUAGAUUUAAUUAAAGUAAUUUGGCCCGUUUCGGUUGGCGGAUAAGUGGCCUUCUCAUCUACAUAACUAGAAAAUCUACUGGUGUUAACAUAGGUACAACUAAGGCUUGUACAAACUAAGUUCAAUUUUGAAAUACCUGACUGUCCUGACUAAUAUAUAUUUUGUAAUGCAUUAUGUACCAUGCAUUUAUGUAAAAGCCAGCAUCCAUGGUCUGCGUAUUUUUCAAAACAAUAAAAAUAUAUUAUAUUAAAACAAAUUAGUUAAAAUACCAAGUACAAUUUAUUGUUGUUAAUAAAAAUAAACAGACAUCUUAGUUUGAUUGGCAUACAAUGAUUGUAUUUUCAAAUUGUUAAUUCUAAUAUUUUGAUUAGUUUUAGUCUCUAUUAAAUUUUUUUAUUUUAAAUUAAAUUCUUGACCAAUAAUAUUUUAAGUUUAAAUGUUGAAUUUAUUACGGCAUAACAUAUUAUCUGGGCCUAAUUUAUUAUUUUAUUAAAUGCUUGUUUAUUUGAACAUUAAUAUUAUAUUAAUAUUUUUUUUUAUUGAAACUUGUAAUCAACUUAUUUAUUUGUCUCAAGUCUCAGCCAUUAAAAUUUACUAUUUAGGAACAAAUCAUAGCACCCUUUUCAAUAAAUGUAUUUAUAAAUUAUAUUUUUAAUUGUCUUUUAAGUAUUAAAAAUGAAAUAUUAAAUAGAACUAUGUACUUAAUAAUAUAGUUGGUGAACAUUUUUUAUAUUUUCAAUUGGAAAAUCUAUAAGUGAUAUUAGCAGAUUACCAAUUUCGACAUUGUGAUUUAUGACAAGUUAUAAACAGCAUAUUAUUUACUAUACUGGCAUAAACUAAUUUUCCAUUAAGAAAGAAACAGUAACUCAGAUUCUACAAUAAAAAAUUUUAAAAUAUACAUUUUAUUUACCUUCAAAAAAUAUGCAUUAAGCUCAAUAUUAUAUAUUCAAAAACAUGCAAAAUAAAAAUAGUACCAUUUUCAUCACAAUAAUAUAAAGCGCUGACCUUACUUACUAUAAUUCCAUUAAAAUUUUACAAAAAAAAAAUAUGCUCUUGCUUACAAAUUCUAUCCUGUUUAUAAGUGUAAUAAUAUAUUAAAAUACAUUGCACUCGAAUAAAACAAUUAUAUGAAAAUAUUGUCAUGUAUUCUCAACUUAUUUCAUCAUAAUUAAUAGUAUAGACCGUUAUAAAAUAAUAAACUUAGAACACUUAUACUAAAUACCUACACUAAAAAAAAAUGUACACUAACAAAAAAUUACAGUUAAUAACUAUUCAUGUUAAUAUGGAUUUAGCUAUUAUGUAUGUAUAAAAUUACUUAUUCGAUUACUGAAUUAUCACAUGUAUAGUAAGUAUUUUAAUAAUAUCACUCAGUUCACGUUCAAAUAGGUAGCAUGAUUUUAUUUACAAUCUAAACUUUGCACUAUAAGAUUUAAAUUAUAAUUAACUUAUAAGUGGACACUAACGCCGUGCUUGUACGUAAGUACUCAUAGAAUGACAUAAUUAUUACAAUUAUACAAAGUCAAUAAUAAAAAAUAACACUUUAAUAUGACUUUAUCUAUAUAGUAUAAUUAUCGUGAAUAAUUUAUACUAUACACCAUUGAGAUAAGACAUAUUACUAAUCACGUCAUAUGUUUUAAAAAAACGGCAAUAUUCAGAUAUAUUUAUAAUAUUAAAGAUGACAACAUUCUAUUGAACAAAUAAAAUACCAAAUUUGAUAUCAGUCAUAUGUUUCGUUAAUUAAUUUUUAUUGAUUUAAAUGAAAAAAAAAAUGAUGGGACAAUCAGUCCGAUGACUUUAUCACACAUCUUUAAUACUAAUGCUUUCCUGGGAAAUUGGAAAGUAAUCAAUUUACGUAAAUAUUAUAUUUAUGAUUUAUCAAUUAUAUUUUUUAAAUUUACAUAUAACUUAACUCUACAAAUAUAAUAUUAUGAUUUUGUGAAUUUUUUUCUUUUAAACUUUUAAUCUUAUUAUAAUAAUAUUUUUUGAAA